rnacentral:sRNA from 1 species
CUGGAACAUGAGGUUGAAUAACACUUCUGUGGGUGGGUGUGGUGCAGCAAUCUGCUGUAUAAAUAAAUGGGUCCCUGACUCCAUCUCAGUCACUCUCUCUUUCUUUCUCUUUGACAUCCUCAUUAUCAGUUCUGGAGAAUAAAUGAAGCCUAACUUGUCAAGUGUUGAUUGAAUCUGCUUGUAGCUUAGCUUCCUUCAAAACAUCAUCUUGCCAAUUUUUUUUUUUUUUUAAAAAAAAAAAAAAAAAGAUACCCAGGCAAGUUGAGAGGCCCGGGGAGCCAUGGGGAGGAAUAAAGAUAAUAGAAAUCCUUAGGAUAUUUUUUCGAGGGAAUUAUGCCAGGCUUCUUUCUAUUGCGGACUUUUUAUUGUUAUGUCCAUCCUAUGUCUGACAGCUCCAGCCAUCCUCAAGACAAAAAACCCCAAUACCAUCAUUAAAGC